GGAGUUUGGUCCGUGUCUCAGUACCAAUGUGGGGGACCUUCCUCUCAGAACCCCUACUGAUCGUUGCCCCGGUGGGCCGUUACCCCGCCGGCAAGCUAAUCAGACGCAUCCCCAUCCCUUACCGAUGAAUCUUUGCUCCUCAUCUGAUGCCAUCAAAGGAGAACAUAGAGUAUUAAUCCGACUUUCGCCGGGCUAUCCUCUAGUACGGGGAAGGUUGGAUACGCGUUACUCACCCGUGCGCCGGUCGCCAUCACAGAUAGCAAGCUACCUGCAUGCUGCCCCUCGACUUGCAUGUGUUAAGCCUGUAGCUAGCGUUCAUC
rnacentral:rRNA from 1 species